rnacentral:rRNA from 1 species
GAUGAACGCUGGCGGCGUGCCUAAUACAUGCAAGUCGAACGAACGGACGAGAAGCUUGCUCUUCUGAUGUUAGCGGCGGACGGGCGAGUAACACAUGCAUAACCUACCUAUAAUACUGGGAUAACUUCGGGAAACCGGAGCUAAUACCGGCUAAUAUUUUGAACCGCAUGGUUCAAAAGUGAAAGACGGUCUUGCUGUCACUUAUAGAUGGAUCCGCGCUGCAUUAGCUAGUUGGUAAGGUAACGGCUUACCAAGGCAACGAUGCAUAGCCGACCUGAGAGGAUGAUCAGCCACACUGGAACUGAGACACGGUCCAGACUCCUACGGGAGGCAGCAGUAGGGAAUCUUCCGCAAUGGGCGAAAGCCUGACGGAGCAACGCCGCGUGAGUGAUGAAGGUCUUCGGAUCGUAAAACUCUGUUAUUAGGGAAGAACAUAUGUGUAAGUAACUGUGCACAUCUUGACGGUACCUAAACAGAAAGCCACGGCUAACUACGUG